CUUGUGCCUCUUCAACAGGUCCACAAGAAGUGACAAUGCCCCAGUGUCAACUAUGAGUUGCUGAUGCUCUGGCUUCACAGCAAGCAGUCCUAGAGCAAAAGCACUCCCCUUCUCCACCUCGUGCUCAAACGGCUUUGGAUUACGGUCAGCUUCACUUGACUGCGGCGCUUGAAGAUGCUUUACCAGAGCUGGAACUGCACCUCCUUCAACAAUUACGUUCACUAAUUCCUCGUUUUUGGCGAACUCUGCAAGGACGUGAGUGGCGCGUUUGGCAGCUGCCCGAUCGGCCUCGUUCCAAGAGAAGGUCGAGUUAAGGAUAUUUACCUGAGCAGCCACCUCGUAUAAAAGCGCUUGCCGCGCAUCGCCGAAGGGGACCGCCGGCGAGAUCUCUUGCCGCUCCUCUUCAAUCUCUUCCUCCAAUUUCCGCUUCUGUCCCUUCCUCUCCGGGAGACCACGAUCUUGGCUCCUCUCCGGCUC
rnacentral:misc_RNA from 1 species